rnacentral:lncRNA from 1 species
AAAGAGCCCAUGGACCUCUGUGACAUCCCCAAAAUCACGGCCAGAAAAGACCGGUUUGUUUAUGCUUUGUUUAAAAAUCAGAGUUACAUUUUAAAUGAAAGUGUUGCGGAAUUUGUCCCAAAACAAAAAUAUGAUAAAGAUUUAUCAAAAGCAUUUCCAUAGAAAUGUAUUUCAUUAAAAGACUCGGGAUGUCAUGUUCGUACAGAUCAAAAGCAUAAACAGUACAAUAUAAGCCUUACUACAUUAUUUCAUAUCUACAGGCCUAUAUCCGUAAUCCCUCGUCCAAAACAUCACACCUAUGCUCAUGCGCCACUACCUGUAAUACAUAAAACUGAGUGGGUCAGGCUUGGGAGCCUGGUGAGCACAUAGGGUUUUCAACCCACAAUAAAUAAGUUUAUUAAUUUCAUCGAUCAACAAUAACCCGAUUACCCGUUCCCGUUAUCCUCACUUUACGUCCCUAAACACCUAUCAUAAGGGACCUAGCCUAAGGAUCAUCAUCGGGACGGACACUACUGCUAAGGGGAUUCCUCAGCAAUAAAUGUCCUAAAGGCAACCAUGUGGGGGAUGGAGUACACCGGUGAACACAUCGUUCACAAACACCUACAGGUUGCGAGCCUGCUAGUGUUCCACUGGACUGUCUAGAAGAGUCCGUGGUCGUCAUCCAUACUCCGCUAGAUGACAGAAUCAACAACAUCAACAUCGAGGCCUCUCAUCAUUUUAUCACACAUCACCUAUUGCAUCUACCCAUGUUUUACCCCAACAUUUUCGUAGAUAUAAAAUACAUAUACAGUUUAAAUCAUUGAAAACAUGUAUAACAACGUUCAUCUAGCAUAGAUAGCAAGUAUUCAGAUAAUAUGCACACAUAGCACGUAAUUUAUAUAAAAUACUUCAUAUCUAUGUGUAAGUUGAAAGUAACUAUGCACUCACUUGUUAAGGUGAUGAUUCCAAAAUCGGGCAGCGCUUGCUUCUAACGAUUCUAUUUUCCUUCGACGAAACCUAGCAUUAUUAUCGCUAAAUUUUAGUCUAAUAUUUACCGUGACCAACUAUUAGUCUUAGUAUUAUUAUUAUUAUAUAAGCGUUAAACAAUAUUUUCCAACCACUAUGUACAGACAGGGGCCAGACAUAAAACACCGGAGGGCAGGACCAUUUUGGCAUAUAGCACUUCUGAAAUCCAACAACCCUAUGCGGCCCUUUAAACCAGAUUCCCCGUACCGCGAGUAGUUAAAAAAAAAUUUUAACGACACUUAUAUAAGUUAUAAUAAUAGCUCAAAUAUUUAUUAUAAGUUCAUAAUAACAAUACUAAUUUUAAAUAUAAGCUAUAUUAAAAUAAGGUAAGCAUAACUUACUUACAAGGGGGUUUUAGCUAGGAGUCGGGCUCUGCAGGGGCAGAACUUCGUCGCUGAAUCUUUCUAAGAAAGAUUCGUGCAGCGCUUCAGCGCUCACCUUACUAUACUAAGCUACAGAAAGAGAAGUCGAAUCACGAGGGACCGAAAUGCUCGGGGGAUAAGGAGAGAAAGACUCUUGAAUCAAGAGAAUGGUGCAAGAAAUAUGAGAGCCCAAGGCUCUUAUUUAUACUAAUUGAAUUUUCAAAAACUACCCUCCAUAAUUACUUAAUGACCUUUUAGUUAUAUAAACAACUAAACACCCCUCUAUAAUACUAUUAUAAAUGGAUUUAAUGAUAUUUGUACUAAACUAAUGUCGAAAGAACUCAACAUUAGUCUUAUAAUGACCGCAUCGUCGAUACCUUUCUAAUGAUAUAUACAUAUGUAUAUAUAUGUGUACGUAUACAUGAUUUAUACUUUAUUUUAAUACGUAAAUAUGCUAUUAUAAUUUGUAACUCGUUCAUACGAACUCCGUUUUUGACGUUCUUUAUAUCCACGCGUAGGUGAAGACGUACUCUACAACUUUCGUUUAGACUCCGUCGGCUAAUUUUGACUUUAUUUUUAAAGUUAUAUUUUUAACAAGCCGGGACAGGAUUGGUCUGUUUAAAAUCUCAUAACUUCUUCAUACGAAGUCAGAUUUGGGCGUUCUUUUUAUCGAUGUUCUUAGUUUAACAUAUUCUACGACUUUCGUUUAGAUCACUAAGGCUAAAUCUCGCUCUAUCGUAAAUUCACUAUUCACGCUUCCCGGUAUCGUGCCGGUUCUGUCGUGAAACUUCGACGGGUCAUAACUUCUUCGUUAUAACUCGGAUUUCGGCGUUCCUUAUAUGCACGGAAACCUUGAGACAUAUUCUACAACUUUAUGUAGAGAUAUCGGGAUUAUCUCACACUUUAAUUUUGACGCUCAUUUUUAUUCUUUAUUAAUUAUACAUUUAUAAUUAAAUAAUAAACACAUAUAAUUCACAUAAUACUCAAAUAUUUCAUCUUUAUUACUUCAAAAAGAGUUACAAGAGUUGACCUAGACUAUUACAUUGACAAAAAUGCUUAGCCCUGAAACCCGGGCGUUACAACCUCCCCAAGCAAAGAGAUUAGGGUUUCCUCCUUAAACCCUAGCUUUGACACUAUGCUAACUCAGCUAUAUAAAGGACCACACCCUUCAUAUUUUUGACACUCCUUUCCAUAAGAAGAUCUGGCCAAAAAUCCUUCUCUUAUCCUCUCUGUCUCUCUCUCUCUCUCUCUCUCUCUCUCUUCAAGUUCCUUAGUUGGUAAGGUUCGGGUGUGAACCAUCAGAGGCACGAAACUUGUGGUGCUUGCUGCCAAAAGUAUUGAAGAAGGAAUUCAAUAUUGUUUGCUAUAACAAUCUUCAAGUUAAUUUUCUUGUUCUUAUGAAUUAGUUUUUCAUAGGAAAGUUUUAUAGGAUGAUAAUUGAUAGUAUGUUGCCUGUAUGUGAAAGAUAUAGAUCCUUAUUAGGUUGCAUGUGUCCUAA